AAAUAUGCAUGAAGGAAAUAAUUCAUUAAUAUACACUUACGCGUCGCUAAUCCCGGUAAAUGUUUGUGAAGUAAACAAUCUAGCCACUCCUGCGGAGUUUCAUCCAUUUGAGGUACAAAUGGUGACAGUAUUACAGGACCAUGCUGUAGGUGUUCGAAAUCGAGUUUUUGUGGAAACCACUCCAUAAAACACCCCAACGUGCAUAAGUCACCACUUAGACUUACAAUUGACUAUUUUAAUAUCACAAGAAUGUCCUUAUAGUAAAAUAAUCAAAAAAAGGUUACAUUUUUUACAUUUAAAAGAUACCUUUUUUAAUAUAGGAGUUCAAAAAGUUAGGCAACACUUUAAGUAUUUGCCUUAUCAUAUUAAAAGCAUUUCAGUCUUUUCAUGAUUGGAUUCCAGCAUAGGUUACUGUUGAUGUCACAGAUGUUAUUCAAUCAAGUUCCUCGUAAUCGUAGUCUAUUUUAAAAAAUAGUUUCACUCCGUUGUAGGAGUAAUUACAUUUGUAUUAGAAGGGUUAUUUCCAUGUGGAAUAUCAAAUAAAACUUAAUUCUGUCUCAUGUCCUCUUUGAUUACGUCAUUGUAACAACAAGAUGUUACUACGUAAAAUUUGCAAAACAACAAGCUGUAAUCCAUGGAGUAGUAGGCUGGAUUCGAAAUAAUGCGGAGGAUGGUUCUGUACAAGGAGUUGUUGAGGGAUCUCAGAAAUCUAUAAAAGAAAUGUGUUAUUGGCUUUCAAAGGU